AUAGUUCUUAUUUAAAAAAUACUUAAAAAAUACGUACAAAGCAUUAUUCUAGUUAAAGCUUAAAGCUUAAUUAAAGCAUUAUAAAUGUAGUUAAAAAUUAAAACUUGUUUUAAAUAAGAAACUGAACAUUUGAAAUUGCACUUUGGUCUUCUGUGAUGUUAUGAAUAAGUCCUUUUCAAAAAAGCUUUACUGAACUUUUACAAAUAGUUAUUAGUGAGAUUCUAUUUAUACAUUUUGUUAAUAUAUUUCAGCAUCUUUAUGUUCUAAAGACUGGUAAGAGUGUUAUUUCUUUGGGGAAAAUUCAGAGAAAUACUGUUACAGCAUCCAUUUAACAUUUUUCCUUUGGUUUUGAGUACUGUAAAAUCCUUGAGAUUUCUGUAGAUUUUGUAAGGAACUUCUAGAAAACCUCUUCUUUGAAAAACCACUUUUUCAGACAAUUGAUUGUGGGUAAAUGAAUCAUUGGUAAUGAGCGUACUGUUAAGUACUAGUGGUAGCAAAGUAGGGAAGUGAUACAUUGAAGAUUUUCUGAAUGAUUCCUUAUUGAUCUGAAAGAUUUGUAUCUAGUGGCAGAUAAUUUGUUUAUAGGGAAUAAUAAUUUAUUCCUUAUAAAGUUAUGAUAUUUAUAAAAAAUUACAAAAAUGCUUCUUAUUAGUCAAAUUUGAAUUUUCAGAAUACCCUGAAUUUCAAUUGCAGUAGCUUACUAGGUGUUUCAUAUGUAUUUGACUAUUGUAAGCUUACUUUAGAUGCUUUUUUGGAAAUUUAUAGUGAUACAUCAUUACUAAUGUUAAUUAUUUAUUGAUUAGCUAUUUUGUGAAUUGUCCAGGCCAUUUGACCUCUUGCAGUUUUCAUAUCUUGACUUAAUUUCCACAAUUCUACCAGAAAUUUAAAAGGAACCACAGAAAGCCAAAUUUCCUAUCCUGCUGUUACUGUACUUGUUACUCAAGUUGUCUAUUUAAUACAUAAGUUUUUUAUAAUUGAAAUGAAAUUUUUGAAUCUAUUUUCACUUAACAUUGCUGAAUGGCUAUAUUAGACAUAGUUUUCCAGUGAGAAAAAUAUAAUUAGCAAAUGAGGAAAAGUGUGAAUAAAAAAAUUAAAGGGAGGUCUGUGAUCAGGGUAGAAGUCCAGAUGCUUAGAACAAUCCUUUUCCCAAGUUAGUUGACAUGAUGUUAUUCUUAUAAAAAAAACUUAUCUUAUUUUGAUUACAUGAUGUGGAUUGGUGAUCUUGGUCCUUUUAAUUAAGGAUAAGAAUCCAUGAUAAAAAUUAGAUUUUUCGAUGAUCAUCGUAUACAGAAGGACUGAGGAUUCAUUGGUUAAGAACCGCUAACCUGUCCUCUUGCCCCUAGGGUGUGAGCACUGAAAGGGAUUAAGGCCCACUGUAGGGAAGCUUGCACGGAAGCCUGCACUGCCCUUUCCCCUGUUCUUUCAGUUAAAUAGAAGAUUUUCAGUUCCCAUGACUAUCAAUCUGGUGCUUUUCACAAGCACCAAAUUCUUUUAAGAAAAUUAAGAUGACUUAUUUUUAGAAAUCUAUUGGCCUAGGAUACUGCAAGAUGAUUCUUUUGGUAUUUCAUCUUGACAGAUCCUAUACAUACUGUUUUUUUCUGAUGGAUAUUAGUUUGUUUUAAUUUAUGUUAAAUUUGUUGAUAAAUAUAGACUUUUAAAAAUCAAGGACACAUUUUUAUGUGGUUGGUUUUUUUUUUGUCCAUUAGUAAUUAUAGAGUUUGGCAGUGUUGAAUCUUAUAUUUCAUUAGAAGUAGCUAUCUGACAACCAUGUGGACAUAAACUCUUAACUUUUCUUUCUAGAUUACUGCAAUAAUAAGGUGCUUUCUCUUAAAAGUUUAAAGGCCUUUAAAUAGCUUUUGUAAAUGCUAAAGCGUUGUGUAUUUUUUCAAUAUCUGCCAAAUUGGUACUGUAUUUAAUCUGAAAAUAUCUUUUGAUUUUGUUAACUAAAAAUAAUUGCAAAUUUCUUUUCUUUCUUUCUUUCUUUCUUUCUUUCUUUCUUUCUUUCUUUCUUUCUUUCUUUCUUUCUUUCUUUCUUUCAAUGACUGUUACAAUCUAUAUACUUGUCACCUUAGUGUGCUAGAAAUGUUCCACUCAGAUCAAGGGUUCCUUUCUGGUUUUGUAUGUUCUCACCUGCUCCUCACUGUAAAUCAUUGAGAUGUCAAGUGCAAUGAUUAAUUAAGCUGCACGUGCAAGUGCUUUUUUUUCCUUCACCUGUCAAGCAGGAAAGAAGUCUUAUAGCAAGAUUAGAUGAUGCUAAUUCGCAGCUAUUACUCCAGAUUGUCAAGUGCGAGGAAAUAUUUUAUAUUUACAUGCUUAUUUAGAAUAUGGCAUACUACAGUUUUGUUUGGUUUAGAAUUCUUAAAUAUUGUAAGAUACAAUUAUUCUAUCAAACCCUAUCAUUAAACUCCCAAUUAGAGGCAAAGGAAAAAGCCUAAAUUUCUGCAUAAAUAUUUUGGAAUUUAAGGUUCACACUUUAUAAUUAACAUUACCUUUUAUUCAAGUCCUAGUAGUUGAUUUGAAUUAUUUAUAGUAAAUAUUUUAAGUGUCUAAAUUGAUGUGUAUGUGUCAUAUACACCAUUAAAUCCAUUCAUAAUAAUAUUUGUUAAUAUAGUAUGGGAUUAAAUUUGUAAUGAAAUGAUUGUGGUAACUAUACUUUUUUCUUUGACUAAUGAAUGUAAUGUAAAACUUUUAAUUUUCAUACAUUAAUAUGAAACAACAGACAUGGAGAGCUUGUUCUCCCCACCCUAGUUCUUUCAUACCCCCUGCCCCCUUUUUAAACCAUCAGUAAAAGUAAAACCUCAAAUUGUAUAGUAAUCUUAAUCUAUUAUUAAAAGGUCCUAGAAAGGAAGAUUACAAGGUAGAUUCAGGUUUUGAAUCGGUUUUGCCAUUGGUUUAGCAGCGGGUGGGCAGGCAGAUGCCUGCUCAGAGUAGAACCUAUUGCCAUUUUUCACCAUUGAUAGAGUAGCCUUUCAGAGUCAAUGAGCUCUGUCAAUGUGAGCUUGUCAAGGCUACAACUUCAUAGACCUGAGAGGCGGUUUGAGAGGUCAGCCCUUUUCAGGUUCGCUGUGAUGCAAAUGAACUUUAAUGCUUAAACAACUAUUGGAAUUUUUAUGUCUGCUCCUUGUUCUUUUUUCUUCACAAAGUCAUUGACGAGACAUUCAGUGCUUUUUAAAUUGGAAGUUGCAUUGUGCUAAAGACCUAGUACAGAUUUACGGAGGGCUGAAAGCAGUUAGAUCAUGUUCUUUUCAUGGUGCGAUUAGAAUCAAAUCGAUUUCNNNNNNNNNNNNNNNNNNNNNNNNNNAGCUUGGGGGCUAGACAAGGGACAAAACGACUGAACUGAAUGUUAAUUACACUCUGCAGCCUUAUUUUCUUUUGAUUUGGGGCUGACUGGCAACUAAAUUAACAAAAAGUGUGACCAUAACUGCUGCCCUAUUUUCAUUUAAAAGGAGAGCUGCCUCUAAAAGGCUAUCUUUACAAAGAAACAAGUGAGGUCUGCUGAUCAUUGUUAACAAGGGCACUUUUUUCCCUUUAAAAUUCUUGCCCAAAAAACUGUUCAAAAAAAGUAGUGUAAUAAAUUAGUCAUUGGCGUAUUAUUACCCGGAGAGUUAGUUGAUUUUCUGAUUUUUAUGACAUAAGUUUGGAAAAUGUAAGGCAGUAGUAGUAGUAGUUAUGAAUUAUAAUUGGCACCUCUGUGACUGUGGUAUGUCUCUAGCAUGUUCAGCAUGCUAAAAGGUAACAUGGUAACUAGAUUACAGUAGAUACUUUAAAUAUUAACACAUUUUAUAACACUGAGCUAUUCAAAACUAGCUGAUCGUAACAAUUUUCACCUAGCUCAUCCUUGCUUGACAUGCACAUUUUCAUAUUUGAUGAUUAAUACUUACUUAGUUGUGCCACAUUAAUAGAGCUAGAUGCUUUUUCCCUUUCCUUGCAAGGAAGCUGCAGCUGCAGCAAGUUGCAGUUGAUUCUUGUGGCAAAACUGUCCUUUUUGCACCUGCAGCUGUGUUGGUCUCAUCCUAACACCUGGCACCAUGAAUUAUGCUCCCUUUUAUUCCUCCCAAGGAAGAAGCAUUUCAUGCUUCAUAGUAUAUAUUGCAAAAAUCAUGUGAUCCUAAACAUAAAUUUCUUAGUUGAUUCCUUUAACAGUAAUAUUUAGUAAAGAGAUUUUUCAAUAAAACUCAUUUUGUUUGAAAACCAACAAAAAUGAUUGGUUUAAAUGCAGUUUUGCCUCUGCUUGAAAAUAGCUACCUAUGGAAUAAUAAACCAGCUUUUAAAUUUGGUCAUCAUUCUUAUAACGUAAAAAUUAGUUUGAUUCGAUAGCAAAUUGAUUUUAAAUUAACUUUCAAUUAUUUCCUUCUUGAAUUUAUUCUAAAAGCCUUUUGCAUUUUGUUACCUAAUGCUUAACCUUUGUUUUAAAAUAUAUAUUAAAAAAUAGAAGAUGUAUAAGGAAAUCUUAUUACUAUUUAAGCAUUACAAAAAUAUUUCUGAAAGAAAUUGGGAUUAAAUUUGUAUCAUAUGGUGAAAAUUAGCUUUUUAGACUUUGCUGGUUUUAAAUCAGAGCAUAGUGUGUUUGAAACAGUUAAGAAACGCAAUGGCGAAAAACCAAAACCAUGUCUUAAUCAAAAUAGUGUUCUGUUUCUGUUCAGGCAGCUAUUAUAGUGCUCGAAUGUUGAUAGUGUUUAUAGACCACCCUAUACUCAGUCACUGUCUUAUACCUCACUCCUUUUCACACAAAAAGCAGCUGCAAAACAAAGUUUUUCUAAAACCAGUCAAGAGUAAACUUUUUCCUCAUUUGUCUUCCAGACACGAAGAUCGAUUGAGAAGUUAUUAGAAUGGGAAAACAAUAGGUUAUACCACAAGCUGUGCUUGCACUGGAGACUGAGCAAAAGGAAAUGUGAAACGAAUAACAUGAUGGAAUAUGUAAGUUAAAGGGCUGUUUUGUGAGUUUCUCUAUUAAAUGAUCAUUUAUUUUGCUUCUGAUCUUAUUCUUUCCAUGAUUAUUAAUCAGCAAAGGUGUCAGGAGCUUAAUCUCCUGAGCGCAAGGAUUUUCUACGGUUCACAGAUGCAUGGUUUCAUGUGCAAGACUGAUUUAUAAAGUUAUGAAUGACUUGAAAACAAGGCUUCACUGUGUUCUGAAAAAUAAUAAAUUAAUUGCCAAGAUAAAAUAGCCUGAACAUGUGUUGAUGGAGUGUGAAAUUUUAGAUGCUGUAUAAAGAAUAACCACAACUUUGGUUACGCAGCAAGUCAGAUAUGGCUUUUUUAUAUAAUGCUAAUCAGGUUUCCAAGUAUGGAAGAAAACCUUUCAGCCAAGCCACUGGAGCUUAAGAAACCUUUAGCCUUUAUAGAUUUUAACUGCCCAUACCUCCGUGGCCUUUAGAGAAUCUUUCAAAGUGUUAUUGGAAUAUUAUUCUGUAAAAAGUAUCUUAAAAGUAAACGGGAGAUGAGAUGGUACUUAUCCUGUGUUUAUUCGUUAAGUUAUCUAAAUGAGCAUGUAUAUUCAAUGGAUUUUAGAAUGGGAUUUAAUUUGCUGACUACUUGAUUUACUUUAUUUUUCUCCUUUUGAAAAGUUCAGAAUGCUAUAGAAAAUUGUGACUCUUUAUUCUCCCUUGAGUUUGGGUGUUUCAUUUUAAAUAUGGAAAGGUUAUUAUAUUAAAAGAAAAAGAUCUGAGGAAGAGUUAAGUACCUGGAACAUCAUUUCUAACAAAUUUCAUCUAUUCUUUGAAACAGUAUAGCCAUCAUAAGUAGUAUAUAUGUAUGUGUAUAUAUAAAAGAUUGAUUAAAAGAGUGCUUAAAUAGUUGGAAAUUAUCAUACAAUCAUUUUUCUCUGUAGCAUUUUCUCUUUCAUUAUCACACAGUAAAAUCCCAUUUCUAGCCUUGAACAUAAAAGAUGUCUUAAAGAUGUCUCUUUUUUUUUUUUUUAUAGAAUAGCUCUAUUCAGUGAACCAAGUAAUGAAGAUUUUAUCAUUAUUACAUCAAACAUGUUAAUUUAUGAUGAUAAAAAGGCACUUGAUACCUCUUUAUAUAAUAAAAGCACAUUCACAUAACUUAUUUUGAGAUAGACCUCUGGAAAUGCUGGAUUUGAAUUUUCAUCAUAGAUGAUGAGAAAGAUUAUGUAUUUUGUGAGGAGGGAUGGAUAUCUAAGAGAUUUAAAGGCUUUUGUGAAAAAAUACUGACUAUAAACCCAAACACUAAGCUCAAAAUUGAGGCUUUUGUUUAUUUACUUAUUUUUUAUUUACUUAUUUUGCACAUUUCUAAAUUUACUUUGAAAAGGAGAACAACUUAUUCCCAAUUUCUAGAUAGAACUGGAAGAAUGUCAUUCAUUUAUAAAAUAUGCUCAUUAUAUUCAUGUUUAUUUUUUAUUAUUUGUUAUUCAUUUACAUAAUUUACUUCCAAAACAUUCUGAACUAUGUGCUCUGUGUAUAAAAUAGUUUCCUUUAAUUUAUCAUAAAUUUUUAGAUAAACACUUUUCCUAGGGCCAUUAUAUUUUUCACAUCAUCAUAGAAGAUAUCCAGAAGAGUAGCUUUAAAACAUUUGCUUUAAAAAUGUAUUUUUUCUAAAUUUUCACAGAGUGUAUAUAUAUGUGUGUGUGUGUGUGUGUGUGUGUGAGAGAGAGAGUUGAAUGAAGGGAAAACAUAAUUUUUAAAGCUUCCAAAAAUAAUUCUGAAAACUUAAGAUAGUAAAUGAUCUAUCAGAUAUAUAUAUAUAUUUGACCUAAACUUUUCUUUAACUUAGAGAAAUUUCCUUUGUUAAAGGGAAAUAAUUUUCCUCUAUUAUAUUUGAAAUAUUGGAGUCAAUCUAAGAACGUGCAAAUUUGUUACUAACUUUAUUUUUAUAUGUGGCUUCUAAAGAGAAAAGUUUGUAGGAUACACUCUUUAAAAACUAGUAAUGAUUCGAAUAUAAUCAAAGAUAGCUUUUAUUAUUCAUUAUAUAGUAUACACUAUAAAAUAUAAUUUAAUCAAAUUUUAGAGCUGCAAUGAGUCUUGUCAUCUAGUCCAACCCUCUUAUUUUAUAGAUGAGGAAACUGAGGAACAGGAGAAUCUAGCUCAAAUGAGGAAGCUGGAUCGGAAGCUAGUAAACAUUUUGUCGGCAAAUAACAGGUCAAAAGAGUGGCACAGGGGGCACCUGAUAGUAAAUCAACUAAGAAGGGAAUAUUUUUGAGCCAUGUGUAGAAAUACCUUCUUUAUUGAGAUAGAUCAAAGCCCAGGAAAACUGAAGAGUGAAAAUGAAGGUUUCUGACCCAGAUGACUAAAUGUGGAAGAGUAUCCAAACCUGGAGGUCAUAUCAAGACACCAGUUCUGAAAAAGAAUGAAGAGUUGGAAACUGUUCAAAUCAAAUAAUUUUUUUGUUUAGCAUCUAUUCCAUACAGAGUUUGAACAAAGGGAAGAAUCAAUUACAAUUUAGGAUAGUUUCAAGUUUGGAGUGAAAAUUAGUUCUGGUCAUCUAGUGUCAUUCUGUGUUACUAUGUUUUGUUUUUGUUGAUUUCCUGUAGUUUCCUAGUGAAAAGUUCUCUGCAACAAAUUUUAACCUUUAAUUUUGCUAACCCUAAGAAGAAUAGGAUAUUAAAAAAAAAAUUAAAGAGGUAAAGGACCAAUCAGUAGUCUUUGUCUAGAGAUCCCAUAUCCUGGUACUGUAAAAUGAGAGCAACUCUAGAACCCUAAAGACCCAUGGAAUGGGGCGUUAGAUAAAAUGAGAAAGCCUGAGGAACUGGGUCAGCUGCAGCUACAUAUGGCAGUAGAAAGAGCAGAGCUCUGGAGUUAAGCUAGACCUUUGUUCAAAUGCAAUCCAUGGUGUGACACUUCUUAGACCAUUGGUUUUCUCAUCUGUAAAAUGAGGAUGAUAGUGUUUGAAUCGUCGAAAGUUGUUGUGAUUAAAUAGAUCUAUGUAGAAUGAAACACUUGAUAGGUUAGGUAGUUCUCAGUAAAUGCUAGCUCCUUUUUUCAUUCAUGCAUGCGUGCAUUUUCCUGUUUGUCAGAGGCACUAUUAAAAUUGUUUGUAAGUGAUGGAAUGUAACUGAAGUUUUUCUGAGAUAAAAAUCUUUUAAAGUCUUUUUAAAACUUUUUUUUCUCCUCCUACAGGUCAUCCUCAUAGAAUUUUUACCAAAGACACCGAUUUUUCGACCAGAUUAGCAUUUGCUUUAUUUAUAGAGACUUUCCAAGUAUGUUGUCUUUCCAAUGGUGCCUUGCUUGGUGCUCUCCUGGUGGUGACAUAGCAUUGGUUCUACAGAAUCGUGUGGUGUUUUUUUGUUUUGUUUGUUUGUUUUGUUUUUUAAUAACCGCAUGUUCUAAGUGUGCAUUUUUGUCAAACUUUGCAACAGUUAUUUCAUACAGAUGUUUAAUACUUAAGUUAUUGUGCUCUUUUCUGUUAUGUAUUCUGAUUUUCAAGGAUUACUUUUUUGUAUUAUCAAAAAAAAAAUACAUUUGAACUUAGCAUAA
ensembl:lncRNA